CUGACCUCUCUGCUGUGUGUUGUUUCGCUUCCUACAGAUCAGAGAAACAUAACUACCAAACCUGGAGAAAACGUCACUCUGCCGUGUGGCGCUGCUGAGAACCAACAUGUUCUGGCUGUAAGCUGGAGCAGAACUGACCUGGGGUCAGACUAUGUUCUUCUGUACAGGGAUGAGCAGUUUGAUACAGAACACCAGUCUGCAUCCUUUAAGAACAGAGUUGACCUGAAGGCUGUGGAUCGUGGAGACCCGUCCUUGAUUCUGAGCAACGUUACAACCAGCGAUGCAGGAACGUACGAGUGCCGGGUUGCUUAUAAAGAUGGCAAUGAGAAGAUCAAAACUCUAACUCUAAUCAGCACCAUUAACCUGAGAGUGGAACAAGGGAACAAGGAUGGAGGACAGGAUGAAGAAGCAAAGGCGGAUGGAGGGAACAAGACCAGGCAAAUAGUUGUUGCUGCUGCUGCUGGUGGUGGUGGUGCUGUUGUUGUUGUUGUUGCUGUUGCUGUUUGUAAGCGCCAUAGAAGGCAGAGAUCUUUACGUCCGGAUGCUAACCCACCUGCAGAAGAACUUGAGCAUAUUACAUCUGAACUAUAAAGAUGUAAGCAUGCAUUGUUUCAACAAACACACAUGAAGGUUAAAACUGACAUCUACCUGAUUAUAUUUUCUGUUUCAUAGAAUCUUCCAGUCCAGACUGAACUAAAACUAGCAUUAAAUAAACCUUAAACAUGCUCAGUUUGUGUGAAACAUUGCAUUUAAAGAAAAAUUAUUUCAUUCGUUUGAUUGUAUUGCUGUGUUUAUGUCUGAUUGGCUUAAAUGCCUGACAGGAGAAACUGAAAAUCACUGGCGACUGUCCCUCCCCUAUUUUCAGCAGUGUAAAGUUAAGCUAAAGGAGUUCAGAACAACUCUACUGUAGUACCACAGCACUAAGAUUGUAAAACAACACACAGCACCACCAAUGAAGCGCAGAGAUUACAUAUGCUCUAAGAACUCCUGUGCAUGCUGUCUGUGUGCACGGCCAUCUUGUUUUCAGGUAGGAACCAUGGAAACCCUUCAGAUCUUCAGAACUCUAUUUACUCAGUUGUACCAGAACUAAGCAAAGUGAGGCAGUCUUUAUUGGAAAUUGGUUCCUUUAACUGAAAAAUGUUUACUGAUCACUAUUAAUUGUCAGAUUUACAUUUUAGCAUUAUUUCUUUUUUUGCAGUUUGUCAAAGCUGGUUUUACUUUAAUGCUUUUACUUGGAUGCAAAAUGUUGCUUUUUUCAUGAAUGGUGUUA